UACGUAGGGAGCAAGCGUUGUCCGGAAUCAUUGGGCGUAAAGCGCGCGUAGGUGGCCAUGUAAGUCCGCUGUGAAAGUCAAAGGCUCAACCUUUGAAAGCCGGUGGAUACUGCAUGGCUAGAGUACGGAAGAGGCGAGUGGAAUUCUUGGUGUAGCAGUGAAAUGCGUAGAUAUCAAGAGGAACACCAGUGGCGAAGGCGAGUCCCUGGACAAUACCUGACGCUGAGGCACGAAAGCUAGGGGAGCAAACAGG
rnacentral:rRNA from 1 species